AGUGAACGCUGGCGGUAGGCCUAACACAUGCAAGUCGAACGGCAGCACAGUAAGAGCUUGCUCUUACGGGUGGCGAGUGGCGGACGAGUGAGGAAUACAUCGGAAUCUACUUUUUCGUGGGGGAUAACGUAGGGAAACUUACGCUAAUACCGCAUACGACCUACGGGUGAAAGCAGGGGAUCUUCGGACCUUGCGCGAUUGAAUGAGCCGAUGUCGGAUUAGCUAGUUGGCGGGGUAAAGGCCCACCAAGGCGACGAUCCGUAGCUGGUCUGAGAGGAUGAUCAGCCACACUGGAGCUGAGACACGGUCCAGACUCCUACGGGAGGCAGCAGUGGGGAAUAUUGGACAAAGGGCGCAAGCCUGAUCCAGCCAUACCGCGUGGGUGAAGAAGGCCUUCGGGUUGUAAAGCCCUUUUGUUGGGAAAGAAAAGCAGCAGGUUAAUACCCCGCUGUUCUGACGGUACCCAAAGAAUAAGCACCGGCUAACUUCGUG
rnacentral:rRNA from 1 species